GGUGCCGGUCCCCAAGGCAGAGGGGCCCAGAGCUGCCAUGACGACGGGCGACUGCUGCCACCUCCCCGGCUCCCUGUGUGACUGCCCGGGAAGCGCCGCCCUCUCCAAGUCAGUGGAGGACUCUGACAUCAGUCGCCCGCAGUACGUUACGCAGGUCACCGCCAAGGAUGGACGGCUCCUCUCGACGGUGAUCAAGGCGCUGGGCACACAGAGUGACGGUCCCAUCUGUCGAAUCUGUCAUGAAGGUGGAAAUGGGGAGGGACUGCUUUCCCCGUGUGACUGCACAGGAACACUGGGCACCGUGCACAAGAGCUGCCUGGAAAAAUGGUUAUCCUCCUCCAACACAAGUUACUGUGAGCUCUGCCACACAGAAUUUGUUGUAGAGAGAAGACCGAGACCUUUGACAGAGUGGCUGAAGGAUCCCGGUCCCCGCAAUGAGAAGAGAACCCUUUUCUGCGACAUGGUGUGUUUCCUGUUCAUUACUCCCCUGGCGGCGAUCUCCGGCUGGCUGUGUCUGCGCGGAGCCCAGGAUCAUUUGCAGUUCAACAGCCGACUGGAGGCCAUCGGACUCAUAGCACUAACUAUAGCACUUUUCACAAUCUACGUCCUUUGGACGCUGGUUUCGUUCCGCUACCACUGCCAGCUGUACUCGGAGUGGCGAAGGACCAACCAGAAAGUCCGCUUGAUGAUCCCAGCCUCACGGAGCCCUCACCCCGUGCCCCACUCCCUCCUCUCCGCCAAGCUCAUGAAGAAGACUGCAGAUGAAACCACCGUCUGAGCCGUCCCUCGGCUGCUGCGCCACGUGGCUGCUGGGGCGAGGGCAGCCCUUCGGGGCUGGCAGAAGCAAAGAGGGUCGGGUGUCCCCAUGCGCGCAGGAAACGCGGUAACUGUGGAGGCACUAGAAAACAAUCAUCCCACCCGAAGGGACUUUGCGAUCCUGGCUCAUCCCCAGGACUCGGAUGCACUCAGCUCUUGGUAUGUCUGGCAAAGGUAGAUGGAGGAUCUGAGGGUGGGAAGCGAUGGCUCAUACUAGCUAAACCCACCAUUGCCUUUUGCUUUUAAAAGAUUCAGAAAGGAGCUUUCCUGACCCCAAAAGGUGAGAGUUGGGAGUCUCUGUUUGCUGAUGUCCUUUCACCAUCUUGAGGCUGGACCUCUUGUAGUCUCAGUUACACACGUACCUUACGGGACAGGCCGUGCUCUGCAGCUGCUUGGCAGGAUGCAGGUGGUCUGGGCUGUCUCUGUGCGCUUUAUUUGCACAUUCCUAGGCAGCAGCCGGAGGAGCUGCUGUGAUUUGGUUCAUCCCUGAAAGCGCUGCCUGCCUGUUGUGUCCUCUAGUGAAACACCCCAAGUUCGCUGGUUCCCAGAGAACAGGUUCUGGGUCCCUUCUCCUGCGGGGCCAGCGUUCCUCCUCCUCCUCCUCCUCCUUCAUCCACCUGUGUUUCCAGCACAUCCAGCUAACGAGCCCCUCUGUCUUGGAGUGCCCAAUCUGCUAAGGGUCUCCCUGAGUUUGGCUUUAGUCCUUGCCCCUCUACUGCCUCCCCCCCCGCCAGACGAUUCCUGUGCUUGAUGCUGUGCUUUCCUGAGCCCUGUGAGUGGGCUGGGCCAUAAGGACACCGGCGUUGGCACUGCCCUGCUGAGUGCUCCAGUGGUGUGUGCAGCUGCUUGGCGUGAGCCUUGGCUCUGACUCCUGCGAUGGUGAGGGUAGAUAGCAGGGAGGAGGCAGGCUCCAAGGUGCCCGUGUCCUUGCAGUGAGGGUGGUGCUCACACACUAUGUCCCUCUGCUCCUUUGCUGAACCCGAGUGGAUCAGUCCAAUGCCCUGCUAGAUCGAGACCUGUAAUUUCUUGAAUUCAAAGCACCGUGUGCCAUUCCUCCUUCUCUCUAGCUGCAGAGCAGGACGCUUUUCCUUACGUGUUCCCUGACCUUAGGCUGGAAGUCGCUGGUGGUAUGAGCAGCAGGGGCCAGUGUCCUGUCUCUCCCAACAGGAUUGCUCCAGCCCUGGGGCCUGGUCCGUGUCUGCUCUUCUUCUCCAUCUCCUGUCCCAGGGUUCUCAUGCAACUCGGUGAUAUCCCAGCAUCUCUCGCAGCAGCUUCUGUCUGCCCAGCUGUGGGCCCCUGUGGGCUGGUCCAGGCUCUGUUCUGAGCGUGAGGGUCUCAUUUGAUCACGGGGUGAAUGUCUUCUGCCACAGCCAGGCUGUGCAUCUCUGCUUCCCUCUCUCUGCCAGCCUCCCUGCCUGUCUCUUCCCUUCUGCCAUGUACCCAUGGGCACCUUCCCUUUUCCCUGUCGUGCAGGGAUGACUCGGUCCCCGGUGCUCCUGGGGGCUUGCAGUGCAGAGAGGCCUCUUCAGCCCAGCUGCAGUUACGGUCCCUGCACAGCAGUAGCAUCCUGCUUCAAAUCAGCUUGUGCAGUGGAGCUCCCACGCAGGCGCUGCCUCCCUCCGCGCACCCCUUCCCUUGGCGGUGAGUGUGGCAGCACUGCUCUGUGCCUUGUCCUGGGUACCCCCUCCUUCAGCCCCUCCCCGACAAACCCUGUGUCACCAGGACAUUCCCAGUGAAGAAAAAUUUGUGGGUUUAGUUUAACCUUUCCAGCCCUGGCUGCCUCCCAGGAGCUUGGUCUUGCAACUCAUCUAGUUCUGGCAGGUAACGAAGGAUGUGCACUCCCACACCACGUUCCCCUAGUAAGGACUUUGGAGCCAGUGUUUCAGUUAGGAAACCCACUGUUGAUCCAAAUAUGCAACUGUGAAAGCCAGAAGUCCCUGGCUGGGGGCAGUUGGGGCCCGGCCCGGUGCUGCUGCGCAGCCAUGGCUUCACUCUCAGCUUUGUUGUUUUUAUCGUAGUUGCCGAUAAUUGGAGUUGUUGCAUGUGCCCCUGCGAAACUCAAUAGUGACUCUUUGAGUCUUCUCCUCCUUCCCAGAGGAGACGUUCAGCUCGUGGAUGUGGGAAAUCAGUGAUUCUGACCCGCCACGUUCCGGUGUCAUGGGGAAACGGGCUGUGCAAUUAUGUAAAUAAAAGUGAGAGAA